rnacentral:rRNA from 1 species
GAUGAACGCUGGCGGCGUGCUUAACACAUGCAAGUCGAACGGGGAACACGGAGCUUGCUCUGUGGGAUCAGUGGCGAACGGGUGAGUAACACGUGAGCAACCUGCCCCUGACUCUGGGAUAAGCGCUGGACACGGCGUCUAAUACUGGAUAUGUGACGUGAUCGCAUGGUCUGCGUCUGGAAAGUAUUUCGGUUGGGGAUGGGCUCGCGGCCUAUCAGCUUGUUGGUGAGGUAAUGGCUCACCAAGGCGUCGACGGGUAGCCGGCCUGAGAUGGUGACCGGCCACGCUGGGACUGGGACACGGCCCAGCCUCCUACGGGAGGCAGCAGUGGGGAAUAUUGCACAAUGGGCGCAAGCCUGAUGCAGCAACGCCGCGUGAGGGAUGACGGCCUUCGGGUUGUAAACCUCUUUUAGCAGGGAAGAAGCGAAAGUGACGGUACCUGCAGAAAAAGCUCCGGCUAACUACGUG